rnacentral:rRNA from 1 species
AACGAACGCUGGCGGCGUGCCUAACACAUGCAAGUCGUGCGAGAAAGUUCCUUCGGGAGCGAGUAAAGCGGCGCACGGGUGAGUAACACGUAGGUAACCUGCCCCCCAGUCUGGAACAACUAGAGGAAACUCUAGCUAAUGCCGGAUGAGACCACGAUCCCUUCCGGGGGUUGGCGGCCAAAGAUGGCCUCUACUUGUAAGCUAUCGCUGAGGGAUGGGCCUGCGGGCCAUUAGCUUGUUGGUGAGGUAACGGCUCACCAAGGCUGUGAUGGCUAGCUGGUCUGAGAGGAUGACCAGCCACACUGGGACUGAGACACGGCCCAGACUCCUACGGGAGGCAGCAGUGGGGAAUAUUGCGCAAUGGGCGAAAGCCUGACGCAGCGACGCCGCGUGGGUGAU